GAUGAACGCUGGCGGCGUGCCUAAUACAUGCCAGUCGAGCGAACAGAUAAGGAGCUUGCUCCUUUGACGUUAGCGGCGGACGGGUGAGUAACACGUGGAUAACCUACCUAUAAGACUGGGAUAACUUCGGGAAACCGGAGCUAAUACCGGAUAACAUAUUGAACCGCAUGGUUCAAUAGUGAAAGGCGGCUUUGCUGUCACUUAUAGAUGGAUCCGCGCCGUAUUAGCUAGUUGGUAAGGUAACGGCUUACCAAGGCAACGAUACGUAGCCGACCUGAGAGGGUGAUCGGCCACACUGGAACUGAGACGCGGUCCAGACUCCUACGGGAGGCAGCAGUAGGGAAUCUUCCGCAAUGGGCGAAAGCCUGACGGAGCAACGCCGCGUGAGUGAUGAAGGUCUUCGGAUCGUAAAACUCUGUUAUCAGGGAAGAACAAAUGUGUAAGUAACUGUGCACAUCUUGACGGUACCUGAUCAGAAAGCCACGGCUAACUACGUG
rnacentral:rRNA from 1 species